CGUUGCUGAGGCAGGUGGCUCUAGAGAGAGGAGUCAAUUGGUGACAGGGAGAGACUGGCAAAGGGAUGGCGGAGACAAUGAAGACGAACAGAUAGCACAAGCACCCAACGGAACCAGCAAUUUCAAAUCUGUCUCUAAUGACUUUUUAAGUUUUUAAACUGAAAGUGUCAAGAAACAAGGCCCAGCCCC
rnacentral:lncRNA from 1 species